rnacentral:lncRNA from 1 species
ACUAAAGACUCAAGUUAAAUGCUAUGUUUGUGUUUCUCUAAGGGAAACAAGUGUUACCUAGGACAGUAAACAAAACCUGGCUGGGUUGUCUUUCCCAGGAAACUUGUUAAGUUUACUAAAGCAAAGAAAUAUUUAUUAUGCAGAAUGAUUUUUUGUUUGUUUUUGUUUUUUCCAGACAGGGUUUCUCUGUGUAGCCCUGGCUGUCCUGGAACUCACUCUGUAGACCAGGCUGGCCUCGAACUCAGAAAUCUGCCUGAUUCUGCCUCCCAAGUGCUGGGAUUAAAGGCGCGUGCCACCACUGUCCGGCCAGAAUGAUUUUUAUAACAUACCUAAAUGUGUUUCCCACACCAUUCCGGUGACACGCAUUCUCUCUCUCCUCUCGGACAUAAAUACCAUUAUCUCGGUGUUGACUGUAGCUCAUCGGUCCUUGCCUCUCAUUCACAAAGACGUUAGUUCAUUACCCACUAUCACCAUCAAACAAGCAAGAAACAACACAAAAGCAAGCCACCAAACUAGGACACAUUAUCUUCAAAGGUUGGAGAUUGUUUCAGUGCACUGUUCUGUUGUCAGCAUACACAGGGACAUCCUAGCAGAGGGCACAGGGUACCCGUGUGUUUCAUAAAUAAUCUUGCGCCAAAGCUUGGGCUAGGUUUGUAGUUUAAUAUUAGCAGUGUAGACCCAAGGGCAUGACUUGCAGAACAAAGAUGUUACUUCCUCCUUUGGGCUUUUUCUUAUCGAAGUGAGGGGAUCUGAGAUUCCCUCAUCUUCAAAGAAAGACAUGCUUCACCCAAAACAUUGGCACUGUAGCAAAGCCCAGUGUCUGCCAAGUGUUUUGUAGCUUUUUCAUUCCUGUGGAGUUUUUUUCUUUUUCUUUUUCUGUUUAAUGUUUGUUUAAAUUCUUGUGAGCACGGAUGGUGGGACACACCUGUAACGUCAGCACUUGGGUGACAGAGGCAGGAGGAUCAGGAGUUCUGCUUACCUGGAGAUGAACAGCCAUUCUCGUCCCCAGGCGCAUUAGUUACCGUCACUCCAGCUUGACCAACUACUUGGCACAUAUAACUGAAGGGGGGGCAGGGUUUAUUUUGGUGUAUAGUUUGAGAAGUGUAAGUGUCGGUCUGUCCUGAGAGAAAGGGCAUCCAUGCAGGCAAGGCUGUUCACAGGAUGGUAGAUAGGAAGCACUGGAGAGAGAUACAGAAGGAAGCCAGGGUAAGAUACAGCGCCAAGGACAUGGCUCCUGUGACCUCCUUCCUCCGGUUACACCUCACCCCUACCUUUCACCACCUACCAAUAAUCCUCGAGUCCAUCAGAGAAACCCAUGUAUUCAGCCAGAGCACUCAUGGAAUUGUGGAAACCCAUCUCAGAUGCUGGCGGCGCUUUACCACUUGCCUAGACAGCUUUCAUUUAAUCCUGUUGGCGGUUUAGAUUUAGAGGCCCAGGCAAUGGGAGGUGGCAAAGGGACCUUAGCACCUUACCACCAUCCCAAAGUAACAGGCUGUAGCCUCCUGGUGUCACAAAAACACACAGACUGCAGCAUUGAGGCGCCCCUUCCCCUAGCCAGGAGACAACUGUAGUCCUAACAUGAGUCUGGAGACCCCAUCUCUUUCCAGCACUGCUGGGGAGCUCCACACUCCCACCUCACUUGAUGGUGUCAAAGUCUUAGAGGGAAGGAACCCGGAUGUUGCAAGGAAGUUGUGAGACAGUGUGUGUCCCUACUGCACUGGAAUGGUAGGAGAGAAAGACGUUAAAGCAUAGCAUUUAAGAUGCAGAGCCUCCCAAGAGGCUAAAUAAGCAAACUGCAAUAGAAAAUCUCUUAUCAUUCCAAGAACCAGGGCCCUACAUGGUUAAAAUGCAGUCUGUUAGACACCCACAUGGAGAAGACAGAAAAGGCAGAGUUGUGUAGCAAAGAUGUUACUAUGAUAUAGGUGUCCUGAAGAACAAAAGUGUGUGUGCCAAAAGCAAAUAAGAUGGCCAAAGAAAUACAGAGUCUGAGCAAAGGUGUAAAGACCAGAGUGGAAAUUCAUCAUCACAAGCAACGAUCUGAGAUCCCUGCUAAUGCAUGAACGGGAGAAAGGGCAGACGGGGCGAGGACCCGAUGAACUAGAAUCAUUGCGCUUCCCAUUCAAACGGCCAGAGAGUCACACAGAGCAGAAGCAGCAGCUCCUUAGAACAGCUUCAUAGAACAUGAAGCUGUGACAGAUCUCAUACACAGGUCAGCUGCGCUCUGAGAGUGGGAAGGAAGACAGAGAUGGAAAUCAUUAGAGUUUGAGGCUUCUCAAACUUGAGGAAGAAAGAAAGAGAGAGAGAGAGAGAGAGGAAAGAAAAGAAAGGAAGGAAGAAAGAAAGG